rnacentral:lncRNA from 1 species
AUCUAGGAAACAUUGAGGCAUGAUAGAGAUAGAAUCCAGUUAAAUUCCCUACAUUGAUGCAGUUUCCUUUUUCGCUUGUUGAAUACUUAGCUUCAUGUAUCAUCCUUCUAACUGACAAUUCACAUCCAAUUGUGGCUUCAUUAGUCAUUAAAAUGUUUGAAUUUGUAGACGUUACAUUGUCAUCUCUCAGAAAUUUGUUUAAGAAACAGAAACACAUACAAACACAAACACAUAGUGCGGGCACUCACGGAUGCGUGAGAGAGAGAG